CAAAGGUGGGAUUUGUGGAUGUGACACAAUGGGAUGAAUCAUUCCUGUUGUGCUUGCAAGAUGAGGCACAGCGGCGCCGCCUCAUCUGCUGUGCCGGAGCCCCUCUAUUGGCCACAGGUGGAGGAGCUCGGGGCCGACAUAAACCAAUAGUGGCGGCUUCACGCGGAGCGCAAAGGUCAAAGGUCUCUCUGAGCUGGGCCCGGUCUAUCAGUCCCCUCUCUUUACAUACAUCCCACCAGAGGACAUUCCGGGAACUCGGGCCUAUAUAAGGCACGAGGAAAGGGGAAACCGUUCUGCGAAUUCAUCUACAAACCCCUCUCAGCGUGGUUCACGUGUGUUUUUCAGCGCCGCUGAGCUAAAGGAGAGCAGAGGGCCGCCGAUUGUAUAACAGCUACUGUUUUUCUGCACUGCUUAGGUUUUACAAACAAACCAGCUGCUAGGUUUUGGCUCGCGCAGGAGAGAGGAUUUGAUACUGGGAAGCAAGAUUAAAGGAAAUCUGUCCACCUCUUAAUGGUGGUCAGUGUGCAUAUGGUGUGAUAAACCAACCUACGGACAAAACUCAGCUGUUCGGGUGCAUACAGUUCAUUGUAUCUCGUGCUCUCUUACCAAACGUUGUCCAAAUGGUGAAAGAAUAAAUGAAUAUAUAUGUGAAAGGUGACUUUAUCUUACUGUGCUUUUGUAUUGGUAAACAUCCAUAACUUUGUAAGAAAAAAAAUAA